rnacentral:rRNA from 1 species
GCUCAGAUUGAACGCUGGCGGCAGGCCUAACACAUGCAAGUCGAGCGGUAGCACAGAGAGCUUGCUCUCGGGUGACGAGCGGCGGACGGGUGAGUAAUUGUCUGGGAAACUGCCUGAUGGAGGGGGAUAACUACUGGAAACGGUAGCUAAUACCGCAUAACGUCGCAAGACCAAAGUGGGGGACCUUCGGGCCUCAUGCCAUCAGAUGUGCCCAGAUGGGAUUAGCUAGUAGGUGGGGUAAUGGCUCACCUAGGCGACGAUCCCUAGCUGGUCUGAGAGGAUGACCAGCCACACUGGAACUGAGACACGGUCCAGACUCCUACGGGAGGCAGCAGUGGGGAAUAUUGCACAAUGGGCGCAAGCCUGAUGCAGCCAUGCCGCGUGUAUGAAGAAGGCCUUCGGGUUGUAAAGUACUUUCAGCGAGGAGGAAGGCGUUAAGGUUAAUAACCUUGGCGAUUGACGUUACUCGCAGAAGAAGCACCGGCUAACUCCGUGCCAGCAGCCGCGGUAAUACGGAGGGUGCAAGCGUUAAUCGGAAUUACUGGGCGUAAAGCGCACGCAGGCGGUUUGUUAAGUCAGAUGUGAAAUCCCCGGGCUCAACCUGGGAACUGCAUUUGAAACUGGCAAGCUUGAGUCUUGUAGAGGGGGGUAGAAUUCCAGGUGUAGCGGUGAAAUGCGUAGAGAUCUGGAGGAAUACCGGUGGCGAAGGCGGCCCCCUGGACAAAGACUGACGCUCAGGUGCGAAAGCGUGGGGAGCAAACAGGAUUAGU